rnacentral:misc_RNA from 1 species
AAGGAUCAUUACCGAGCUCUUGCCCUUCGGGGUAGAUCUCCCACCCCUGUCUACCUACCUUUGUUGCUUUGGCGGGCCGCCUCGGCUGCGGGCCCCGGCGCGCACGCGCCCGCCAGGGGACCUCCACUCUGCUCCCCGUGUCGUCUGAGCACUAUCGAAUAGUCAAAACUUUCAACAACGGAUCUCUUGGCUCUG